rnacentral:lncRNA from 1 species
AUGAUUUUACCAGGUGCACAACCCUUCUAACCUUCAUUUCCCUCAUUUGUCAAAAGGGAACAAGUAAGUCCUGCUCUCUCCACCUCAAAGGGGUUGUGAGAAUCCAGUGACAGAAUAUGGAGAAAAGGCCCUUUGUGAUGAGAAAGUAACAAGUAAAGCUACUAUAAAAUGGGAAUAAUGGUAUUUGAACUCCACAUCUUAGGUCCCCUGGAUUCCUAGGAGAUUUAGGAGGCCUUGGCUGGUCCCACCAGCUGCUAGCAUCUUCCCUUUUGAGAAUGCUUUCCAUUUAUUCUAAACAGUCAGCUCCUCAGAAAUAAAAUCUCCCAGGAGAAACCAGCGAGAAACAAAUACCAUCGUUAGAAAUGAGUAUUUGCUCAUCCUAAAUUCUGAGGAGUCCUGGGACCACUCUUCAUUUCUGGUGGAAUCUAAGACCUGGACACACUGCACAGCAGGAUGGAAAUUCCACCCCCGGUGAAAAGCUAGCAUGAGCUCCUGGUUUCCCAGUGCACUUGGUUGCUUUAGCAUUUCAAAUGAGGAGAUGAAAUCAUUCCAUCAGAUGCCAUGAAGACUGAAUAAAAAGAUAUUCUGACUUCCUUCUAGAAUAUGG